rnacentral:lncRNA from 1 species
GGAGUCCUCCCACAGAGGCAACUUGAGCCUCAACUUGGCAGAAUAUGAAACAGCCUUGGCCAUCCCUUUCUCUGCAAGUUUCUCUUUAAUUGCAGAAAUCUGGGUGGCCUUCGCACGAGUUGUUUGUACAGCCACGGAAAAGAGAUAAGUUUGGUAACCUUGGAAAACCCGAUCUCUUUUUUUUCCCAGCCUCCUGAGAAGCAAGGUCCAGAGGAACAAACACUGUGCGUGGGAAACCAGAGAGGGGCUCUGGAGGAGGGGACGGAAGAGGCCAGAAACGGGGUGGCUUUUCUGAAGAGUACUAGUAAAAGGAGAAAGGAAUUGAGGACUUUUGACCACACAACGUGUAAGAAAGAAAGUGUUACAGCGUUUGUGUUUUCCCGACUGGCUUUCGGGACCAUGGUCCCUUUUAGAGCGACACUACUGUCUUGCCCUGUGACAUCCUCCCAAAGAGCCUGAAUCACUGCAUGCACCAUAAUGAUGGUGGAUUAGGUGACUGAACGAAAGCUGUGAGGUAAUUAAAACAGGUGGAGAAAUAGUAAUAACAACAGCCCUCACAGUCAUCAGUGGCUACCUAUAAGAAUUCCCUAGCAUCUUCUAUCCAUUACAUUAUUUAAUCCUCUCUACAAAACUCCACAUAUGGCAUCAUCUUAUUACAUAGGGAAAGCUUAGAUUAUUUGAUUAUCUUUGUUCUUGCAUCCUUUUUUUUGUUGUUGUUCUUGCAUCCUAACAAGGCAACUUAGGUUGUAUCUAUACGAUGCCCAAUAGCUAGUUAAAUCAAAGCAAUUUUGGAAUCAUAUAUGCAAAGUUGUUUGUAGAACUAGUUUUUAUUUGUGUUAGAAUGUCUUUGCGUAAAUAAUCCAGUGAUUAUUAUUCAUUAUCAUUAUUUACAAAUUAUCAUCUUCCCAUCUCAGCACAAAUUAGAGGCUUUACUACAAGGCUUGUGGAGGAAGUACCCUACCAGCUAAUUCAACGCAAUACAUAAUAUUUAGUCCAUUAAACUACAGGCAUGAUCAGUGUCCCAUAAAAGCAACUAAAGAAGAGGAGUUUGUGGCUAGUUAUAUGUAAAAAUCAAUGUGUACGUUCCAAUGAGUUGUAUAAAAACAGUAAUAGUGUGGCCAUUUGUUCCCCCACACAGUGUAACACAGACAGAUCUUUAAGGCCAGUGUUCCAAAGUGCCCAAGUCAUUCUUUAACCAAUUUAAAUAAAAAAAGGAGUUUCUCACUACUAAUAAAAAUA